AUGCAUGUGAGAGGGACCGCGAGGAAAAAAAGGGCGUGUGGGCAUUACUUGUUUUGCCCACACGUAGGCGUGUGGGCUGAUCCUCUUAAACACCACAUAAAUUAUGUGGGCAGAUCCCUUAACGCCCACACGUGUGGGCGUUAUCGGCGUCCUUCUUUUUUCUUCGAAAACACUAACGCCCACACGUGUGGGUGUUUGCAUAUUGCCCACACGCGUGGAUCCGCGUCCGUUUGUGAGCGCAUGAAUCUUGUCAUCUUUUUAGUGCCACAUAGGACUGGGCUGGUGUGUGGGCAUUCACCCGGUCUCCCACACGGCCGUUUCAGCACACGGGAGGGGCCGGUGUGUGGGCGUUUAGCAGUUCGCCGACACGCCACUUUUCACUAA
rnacentral:rRNA from 1 species